AUUGAACGCUGGCGGCAGGCCUAAUACAUGCAAGUCGAGCGAACGAACGGGGCUUGUGCUUGGAUUCAGUGACGGACGGGCGGGUAAGGCAUAGGUAGCUGACUGGCCUAGAGGGCUGAGGUCACGUAACGGAAGCUAAUAUCGCACAGGUUCUUAGGUUGAACGUCAUGGUUCUUCAGUCCUAGAGCUAUUAGAUGUCACUAAGUCGGAUUAGCUAGUUGGUUAGGUAAAGGCCUACCAAGGCGACGAUCCGUAACUGAUCUGAGAGGGUGAUCAGUCACACUGGAACUGAGACACGGUCCAGACUCCUACGGGAGGCAGCAGUGGGGAAUAUUCGACAAUGGGCGAAAGCCUGAUGCAGCCACGCCGCGUGUGUGAAGAAGGUCUUCGGAUUGUAAAGCACUGUUAGUAGGGAGGAAGGAAAGUAAGUGAAACCAUUGCUGUUUUGACGUUACCAACAGAGAAAGCAACGGCUAACUUCGUG
rnacentral:rRNA from 1 species